CCUGCAUGGGAGGAACCCAGGAAGUCUACUCAGUGCUCCCCACCAUGUACCGGCUUUCCAUACAGCCCCACACAUGACAGAGUGAGUGAUUUGGAUACCCUUCCCCCCACGGAUUACCAAUGGAAGUGGCAAUUGGAGAAGAGAGGCAAGCAGCUGACAAGAUCACCUGAUAGCUCAGGGUGCCCUGGGUCUGAACUGUGCCUAUGGACCAAGACCAGCACCAUCCAAGCCUGAAUCUCUCAGGGACUCAAGGCUGCCAAGGCCUGGGUUCCCCAAUUUGAGGAGGGAGAGAAGGGUAGCUAAAAUAGUGAUGCCUUUUUCCCUCUUUCCUCACAAAAAUCCUUCCCGCAGCAAUUCAGUUAGAAUAAAGUUUGAUGUUUUUCCCCAACUGAUGCUAGAGUGGGAAACAGUUCCAACUUGAGGGGGGGAGGGUAACUCUCUCAGAGAAGGGAACCUCUCUAUACAUUAGUAGUAGAGGGAAGUCAAAAGGGAGUUUGGGGUUGAGCAGCCAUAGCUGAGGGGAGGUUGAAGGGGGAAACUACUCACUCCCCCUCUCCUUUCCCUAGCCCAAAUUAAACAGCAGCUGUCUCCCCCUGAACCCAAAUUUGAGGAGAAGUCUCCACUCUUUCUCCCUCUCUCUCUUUACCACCAGACUUAACCCUCUAUUACAAGAGCCCCCUCACUCCACCUUCUUUUAUUUUGUUUUUCAACAUUUUUUUUAUUUUGAUUAAUUUCAAAACUCAAUUGCAUAUAACUUCUCUUAAGAAGUUAGUUUUCUAAAUUAAAGGUAGGAUUUAUCCAAAAUAGAUAAUGGUUUUAAUUGUUUACCCAAAACAAGAUUUUUUUUAAGGCAAUACUGUGUCCAGAUGGGAAAACUUGAUGAACAAGUUUUAGAAUUCUUAUCUUCCUAGGAUAAUACUGCAUUCAUGAAAUCUUCCCUCAUGCCUCAAGUUCCUAGUUCUUUCUCUUUCCUCAAAUCAUUUAUAUCUGCCUACUUAUUGUCAUGUUUUAUAAAACUACUCAGUAUAAUGUAAAAUUUGAGAGCAGGGGCUAUUUACUUAUGAUCUUUGUGUCCUUAUUACUUGACACAGUACCUGUAUAAAGUGGUUGCCUAAUUAAUAUUAAUUUCUCACUCCACCUUCUUGAUGUUGGUUUUUGACUCCUGUCAUUUUGAGGUACUUUUUAUAUUAUUUUGGAAAUAUUGUCAGAGUGGUUUCAGCUUUCACUACUACUAAGCCAACAUCUUGGCUCUGCCCCCCUCCUAAAGGACUCAAGAUAAAAAAAAAGUUAUCUACCACCUCAAGAGAAAGAACUGAUGGAGUCUGAAUGCAGAUUACAGCAUACUGUAUACUACUUUUUAAUUUUUUUCACGUGGAUUUUUUUGGUCUGUUUUCUUUUAUAACAUAACUAAUAUGGAAAUGUUUUGCAUGACUCAACAUAUAUAACCUAUAUCAAAUUGCUUGCCUUCUCAAUGAGUAGGUAAAGGUUAGAAAUGAAGGAAGAGAAUUGGAACUCAAAAUUUUUAAUAAGCAAAUGUUAAAAAUUAUUUUUAGGGGGAAGCUGGGGGCUCAGUGCAUUGAGAGCCAAGCCUAGAGUUGGGAGGUCCUAGAUUUAAAUCUGACCUCAGACCUAGCUAUGUGACCCUGGGCAAGUCACUUAACUCCAUUGCCUAGCCCUUACCACUCUUCUGCCUUAGAACCAAUAUACUGUAUUGGUUCUAAGACAGAAGGUAGACUUUAAAUUUUUUUUAAAUUAUUUUUACAUGUAAUUGGAACAUACAUAUAUACAUGUACACACACACACACAUAUAACAGAUCACAAGAACAAGUCAAGAAGAGAGAUUUAAGGAUCACUGGAUGUCUGAUUUUAAAAGGUCAGGCUGCUAUAUUUCAAGAAACCAUAAAUGAAAACUUCCCAGAUCUAUUAGAACCAGAUUAUAAAAUAGAGAAAGAAUCCACCAAUUCUACUACCUAAUAGGUAUACCAAAAAGAAUAGACCCAGGAAUGUCAUAGUCAAAAUCUAGAAUUACUACAUCAAAGAAAAAAAUACAGCAAGCAUCCAGAAAGAGCAGUUUAAGUACCAAUGAACUACAACCAGGUUCAUAAAAGAUCUGGCAGCUUCUAACUAAAAUGAGAUGUUGGGAUAUGUAAACCUUAAAAUUUCUUAGACUUAUGAAUGUUGGAAAUUUCCCCAUUUCCAACAUUAGGUAGGGAGGGUCCUUCUCCUCCCUACCUAAGACUACUUUAGGCCAGAAACCUUUUGCUAAACAAUGGAAAGGGCUUUGACCUAUGCUUAAGCAUAGAACAGGAAGUUCUUUGAGUCAUGAUUGAUUUUAGAAUUGAUACAAUAGAGAUACUUGGAAUGACAGAACCAGGUCUUGGAAAAUACAAUUUCCACCCUACUUAGAGUAACAGGAUUUAGGAAGGGCUGCAGCAAAGGAUCAAGAUUUAAUUAUUUGAGAAUAUGACCUUCAACAGACAUGUGCAAAGCCACAGACCUCUGGGCGGUCCUGGGUUAAACUAGAACCACCAUUGGCACAGGGGAGACAUCGACAGUGAUUGGUAGAUGUGAGAACUGAGGGGAGGGAACUUAGAUGGUUUCCUUAAAGAUAGUGGGGUCUGAGGAGAGAGGGGAGGAGGUUUUGCUCUGAGCGAGGUGGCUCUGAAGGAGUUCGAGAGGUUUUGCUCUGAGAGGUUGUGCUCUGAGAAGCUUGCUCUGAAGGAAGCUGGAGGUGGAGGCCCCUGAGACUGUUUCUCCAUUUUGGUCACGUGAGUGAUAGGAACUGAUCUCUUUUCUUUGCCUCAGCUAUCUAAGGGCUUGGGCCUUUUGGCCCAGCCUAAACAGAGGGGAUAUUUAAGCCCUAUUCCCUUCUCUCCCCUCUCUCUCUCUCUCUCUCUCUCUCUCUCUCUCUCUCUCUCUCUCUCUCUCUCUCUCUCUCUCUCUC